GUCGUCAUCAUCGUCAUCAUCUUGGUCGUCGUCGUGAUGCUGCAACCUUUGAUGUAGCCAUAUAGCCACAGGUGAGGACAGAGAUACUAGAUACUGUAUCUAUAUCUGUUGAUCAGCGGCGAUUGUAAGUCAAUAACAGCGCGUACUAGUUAGUUUUUUGUCUUCAAUUCCCCCGAACUUCACCCGGACCGUGUUUCAUGGGAUCUGACAGAAUUCACACCAAGUGGCUACGUGGGCGGAUGAUUAAUGUGCGAAUAUACGACUGCAAAAAAAACAGAAACAGCUAUGUCUAAGACACAUAUGCCCAAGUUAUGUUAGAAUCGUGCUUACAUAAUUGACUCCCCAUUCCUAACACCAAACAAUAAACAUUAUUGACUUAAACAAUCGAUGCUUACUAUAUUUAAAUCUGCAUUCUCCAGUUGGUCAAUAAAACAUUAUGCCCAUAUCGAUUAGUUAAUGAGCCAAGUGACCAGGAGUGUAACACGCGGCGGAUGAGCGAUGCAGGAAUGAAAUUAAUAGACGGGUUUGCUUAAUUAACUUUGCAUUUUUAUUGGUUUUUAUUGGUAGGCUCCGGGUCUCGAGUUCUUCGGAGUCUACGAUUAAUUCGAUCUUUUUGCUAGCUGCGAUCGUGUGAGAGCAUUUACAAAUUGAUUCGGGAUGUAUUCCAUUCUUAAAUCUCAUGCGUGAAAUUGCGAUUACUUAUGAUUAACUUCCUUGCACAACAUAACAAAUUAUUUGGAAAACGUUUGCUCGCUAUUUAUUGCUCUUAAACUAAACUUCAUUCUAGAUGUCCAUAUUAGCUAAGUUCGUUUUAAAAAUUAUAAAUUUACUCACAAUUCCACUAGGUUGGUUUU